ensembl:lncRNA
GGAAAAAUCAUCUUCGCUUCAGUCUCUUGCUAGAGGUCCAGACUGCUUACGUCUGAGCGCCCCUUAUCAUUUCAGUGAAUGGCAAUUGCAGCCUUGGUGCUGUUAUAGCAAUGAAGCUACAGACGUCAUUGCCUCCUGUUGGACGUGAGAUGUGUCCAAGCAUCAGCCCCUUUUGCUCAAGAAAAACUCUUUAACUUCCACGCAGCCGACAGGCAAGCUUUUCUAAGAACCUGUGGACCCAACGUUGUACUGAUAGAGUUAUAUCUUUUUAUUUAUAUAUACAUAUACACAUACACAGGUGUGUAUGUGUGUAAGUACCUAUGUAUAGAGAGAGACAGAUAAAUUAAAGCCGCAGCUAUAUUGCAAGCUCCUCUAAAAUUUCCUGCUCGUCAGAGUAGCUCUCUGCAUCGUUUUGUUAAAUACAGCCCGGCGGGAAAGCAAUCAUCAAUCAAUUUCGGGUAACAAGGAAGACUUGUUGAGCACCUUGUUCUCCAGACCCCGGGAAGAUGCUGGGCUGCUGGAGCGUGGAAGAGCCAGGAUUGUGCCCUGAACUUCACCCACUUGGCAGCAGCUAUUCCUAAACAAUUUCCCCUCUCCUCCCCUGCCUCUUUGCCUCCCGGACUGACUGAGAAUCUGCUCUUUAAAGUUGAUCUGAAGGGGAAAGCAGAGACGAGAUUGUGCAUAGUUUGGAGGGAAAAAGAAAGAAAAGAAAAUUAUCAAGGGAAACUUAAUCCAUCUGUCUCUCCAAAAGCUAAAUUACUCAGAGUGCUGUGA